GAUGGGAGCUUGCUCCCUGAAGUCAGCGGCGGACGGGUGAGUAACACGUGGGCAACCUGCCUGUAAGACUGGGAUAACUCCGGGAAACCGGUGCUAAUACCGGAUAAUUCUUUCCCUCACAUGAGGGAAAGCUGAAAGAUGGUUUCGGCUAUCACUUACAGAUGGGCCCGCGGCGCAUUAGCUAGUUGGUGAGGUAACGGCUCACCAAGGCAACGAUGCGUAGCCGACCUGAGAGGGUGAUCGGCCACACUGGGACUGAGACACGGCCCAGACUCCUACGGGAGGCAGCAGUAGGGAAUCUUCCGCAAUGGACGAAAGUCUGACGGAGCAACGCCGCGUGAGUGAUGAAGGUUUUCGGAUCGUAAAACUCUGUUGUUAGGGAAGAACAAGUACCGGAGUAACUGCCGGUACCUUGACGGUACCUAACCAGAAAGCCACGGCUAACUACGUGCCAGCAGCCGCGGUAAUACGUAGGUGGCAAGCGUUGUCCGGAAUUAUUGGGCGUAAAGCGCGCGCAGGCGGUUCCUUAAGUCUGAUGUGAAAGCCCCCGGCUCAACCGGGGAGGGUCAUUGGAAACUGGGGAACUUGA
rnacentral:rRNA from 1 species